rnacentral:rRNA from 1 species
AUGCACGUAUAAGUUCAGCUCCAGAAUAGCGAAACCGCGAAUGGCUCAGUAAAUCAGUCAUGAUUUAUUUGACAGCAAUAAUCUAUACUUGGAUAACUGUGGUAACUCUAGAGCUAAUACAUGCUAAUGACUCACGUCGGUCUGUAAUGGGCUGCAGGGUGUGCUUUUAUUAGUUUCAAGUCCGAUCUCCCUCUAGCAUUUGGUUGCUCCUGUGGAGGGCAUGAUGAACUCUUAAUAACCGCAGGACCAGCAUGGCUACGGCCUCUGGCGUGUCAUUCAAGUGUCUGCCCUAUCAAGUAUUGUUGGUAGUGUAUCGGACUACCAAGCUUACGACGGGUAACGGGGAAUCAGGGUUCGAUUCCGGAGAGGGAGCCUGAGAAACGGCUACCACAUCUAAGGAAGGCAGCAGCCGCGCAAAUUACCCAAUCUCAGCACGAGGAGGUAGUGACGAUAAAUAACAAUACGGGGCCUAAGGGUCUCGUCAUUGGAUUGAGCAUGAUGUAAACACUUAUGCGAUAUCUAGUAGAGGGCAAGUCUGGUGCCAGCAGCCGCGGUAAUUCCAGCUCUACAAGCGUAUACUAAUGAUGCUGCGGUUAAAAAGCUCGUAGUUGGAUCUUUAACAGGGGCGCUGUGGACAUCUACGGGUGACAUAGUGUAGACACUCCUGUUCCCCCUCUGGUUGGCGUUACUUGCACUUCAUUGUUGUGAGUUUCAGAUCCGGAGUUAGUACUUUGAAAAAAUUAGAGUGUUCAAAGCAGGUAUUCGUGAAUACUGAAGCAUGGGAUAGUAGAGCAGGGCCGCGCCCUCAAUCUACUGGUCUUCUUGGUGUGCGGAAAUGAUUAAAAGGGACAGGCGGGGGCAUUCGUAUUGUCACGUUAGAGGUGAAAUUCUUGGAUCGUGACAAGACGGACUACUGCGAAAGCAUUUGCCAAGAAUGUUUUCAUUAAUCAAGAACGAAAGUUAGAGGAUUGAAGAGGAUCAGAUACCCUCGUAGUUCUAACCAUAAACUGUGCCAACUUGCUUUCAGUCGAUGUUGCUUAUGACACGACUGGCGGCUAACGGGAAACCUAAGUGUUUGGGUUCCGGGGGAAGUAUGGUUGCAAAACUGAAACUUAAAGGAAUUGACGGAAGGGCACCACCAGGAGUGGAGCCUGCGGCUUAAUUUGACUCAACACGGGAAAACUCACUGGGUCCAGACAUAGUAAGGAUUGACAGACUGAAGCUCUUUCUUGAUCCUAUGGUUGGUGGUGCAUGGUCGUUCUUAGUUGGUGGAGUGAUUUGUCAGGUUAAUUCUGGUAACGAACGAGACCUCAGCCUGCUAACUAGCAUGACUAACUUUGGUUAUCACAUGCUUCUUAGAGGGACAGGGUUUUUUCAAGGAUCAGGAAGAGAGGUCAUAACAGGUCUGUGAUGCCCUUAGACGUCCUGGGCUGCACGCGCGCUACAAUGGGUGCAGCAGCAUGUUUUUACCUGGUCCGAAAUGGUCCAGGCAAUCACUAAUUGCACCCGUGCUUGGGAUAGAUUUUUGUUAGUAUUAGUCUUGAACGAGGAAUUCCUAGUAAGCGCAUGUCAUCAGCAUGCGUUGAUUACGUCCCUGCCCUUUGUACACACCGCCCGUCGCUACUACCGAUUGGAUGCCAAAGCCAACAACCCUGACUCUGAGGCUUGGACGCUGCAAAGCUGUCUGCCACGGACGAAGAAAAGUGAGCUUUGAUAUCUA